AUUUGAAAUUGUCUUAGAUUUACAGAAAGAUUGCAAAGAUAUUACAGAGUGUUCAUGGGAUGCCAUGACUUAUGUAUUUAAUUUUUAACAUUUUCCGUUAGUGUGUUCUAUGUGAAUUACCACCUAUUCAACCCUUUGGUAAAGGAGGGAUUCCUGCUCUAGGAUUAUGGGAUGGCCAAACACACAAGACCCAACACUGGUCAGAUGAGCCCAAAGGACACUGCACACCAUGCAAGACCACCUGGGAAUUGAACUUGAGAACAGAGUGAACAACCAGGGACUGUGGGAGAAAGGCUUUGUAGGAUAGAGAGGGUGGAAUGCCUUCUACUUCCCAUGGGAAUAGUUUGUUUGAAUAACUUUGUGAGCUGGUAGGGAAGUGAAACCCCCAGCUCAGGGAGAAGCAAGAAAUUCACCUGGUCUGUUUGAUGAGGAGAGUUAUUUGGCUGGAGACCUUGUCCCUGGGAGCACAGAGGAGAAGGUGACCAGUUUAGCUCUGACCAUUUGGCUUUUGUGUCACUUUGAUAUAAUCCCAGCAUUGGCUGGGGGGGGACUUUUUUGACCUCUUUCUUAAAUUCUGGAAAAUCAAGAUGCUCCAAGCUCGUCUUAUAUAAUUCCUGCCCCAAUCAGCCAUUUCUCCAAAGGGUCCUGGUUCCUUUUAUUGGAGGAUGGUGUUAGAAAGCAAAAACCAAUCUGUAUGUUCUAAUCCACAUGCAUACACACAUCUAAAAAUACUUCUAUGUGUAACCAUGUAUAUUUAUAUUAAAUGAAACUUGAGUUUUUACUGAUGUCUCCAACUCGAAUCCAUUACUACAUGGAUUAUUAAUGCUUUCUCUUGCUUAUCUCUGCUGUUACUUUCAAUCCCAACAGUGAAAACCUGGCUCUCACCAUCCACCAUUCAUUUAUUCAGUUGUUCGGUUCCUGUAUAUGUGUAUAGUGGUUUCAUAGUUGUUAACCUGUAUUCCAAUGAAUAACAAUAUUAUCAACUAGAGUACAGAGCUGACACAGAGUUCCCUUGCAUUUAAUCUUUCAGACUGCCCUUAUUUCCCAAGUUACCUAGCUCAUUGCUCCCCGACCCCACGCCAUCUCUUCAGUGAAGAUGUUGCAUACAUUUGUAAUAACAGUUAAAUACUUUUGUCACAUUCUGCAUAUAGUCCUAUGAUCCUCUGACCUACUUAAUUAUUUGUUUAAUUGGCAUGGAUUAAGAUUCAUUUCUCUGCUGUAAAUUCUUUGGGUUUUGACAAAUGCGUCAUAUCAUGUACCACCAUUACAAUGUCAUACAAAAUAGUUUUGCUGCCCUAAAACUCUUCCUGCGUUUCACCUAUUUGAUCAUUUCCCUCCCUCUUCCUGAACCCCUCAUCUGUUUUGUCUUUUCCAGAAUGUUAUUGAAACAGAAUCAUGUAGAGUACAUAGCUUUCUGACCAACUUUCACUUAGAAAAAUGGGUUGACAAUUCAUGCAUGUCUUUCAUGUGUCUUCAUAACUCAUUUUCCAUUACCACCAAAUAAUAUUCUAUUAUAUGUGUGCACCAUAGUUUGUUUAUCUAUUCAGCUAUGGAAGGGCAUCUUGGGUGCUUCAGGUUUUGGCAAUUGUGAUAGGGCUGCCAUAAACAAUCGUAUGCAAAUUUUUGUGUUAACAUAAGUUUUCGAGUCAAUUGGGUAAAUGCCUAGAACUCCAAUUGCCAAAUUAUAUAGUAAGACCAUUUAGUGUUAAAGAACCUGCCAAACUGUCUUCCAAAGUGGCCGUAUUAUUUUUUAUUACUCCAGCAAUGAAUGAGUGUUACUGCUGUUCCACAUUUUGCUGACAAUUGUUACUGUCAGUUUUUUGAAUUUUAGCCAUUCUAAUAGUUGCAUAGUGGUACCUCAUUGUUGUUUUAAUUUGCAUUUCCCUAAUGACAAAUGAUGUUGAACGUCUUUACUGUUUGUAAGUUUUUUGGUGAUGUAUCUGUUUAGGUGUUUUGCCUGUUUUUUAUUGGUUUGCAUGCUCUCUUAUUGUUGUGUUUUAAGAGAUAAACUCUGUUAUUUUGGUUACACAUCCUUUAUCAAAUAUAUGUUUUGCA
rnacentral:lncRNA from 1 species